AGAAUGCGCGCACUUUCGGGUGACCGGCCGGGACUUCCUCCCGCCGGUUGAAACGGGAAGCCGGUGCCGCGCAUUGCUGGAGUUCCAGCCAUCCGCCAGUCCGGCGCUGCCCCCGCAACGGUGAGCAGGACAGCCCAGACACACCGCCACUGUGCAUCGCAUGGGAAGGCGUCUGGGCGGAAGCGGCCACGGCCGCUUCGCCUGCAAGCCCGGAGACCGGCCCGGAAGCCGACUGGUUGC
rnacentral:ncRNA from 1 species